rfam:Lactobacillus plantarum bacteriophage LP65, complete genome.
GCUCCCCUAGUGUAAUUGGCUAACACGCUAGAUUUCCAAUCUAGUAAUGCCGGUUCAAAUCCGGCUGGGAGCU